rnacentral:rRNA from 1 species
AGAGUUUGAUCCUGGCUCAGGACGAACGCUGGCGGCGUGCCUAAUACAUGCAAGUAGAACGCUGAAGAGAGGAGCUUGCUCUUCUUGGAUGAGUUGCGAACGGGUGAGUAACGCGUAGGUAACCUGCCUUGUAGCGGGGGAUAACUAUUGGAAACGAUAGCUAAUACCGCAUAACAAUGGAUGACACAUGUCAUUUAUUUGAAAGGGGCAAUUGCUCCACUACAAGGUGGACCUGCGUUGUAUUAGCUAGUAGGUGAGGUAAUGGCUCACCUAGGCGACGAUACAUAGCCGACCUGAGAGGGUGAUCGGCCACACUGGGACUGAGACACGGCCCAGACUCCUACGGGAGGCAGCAGUAGGGAAUCUUCGGCAAUGGGGGCAACCCUGACCGAGCAACGCCGCGUGAGUGAAGAAGGUUUUCGGAUCGUAAAGCUCUGUUGUAAGUCAAGAACGGGUGUGAGAGUGGAAAGUUCACACUGUGACGGUAGCUUACCAGAAAGGGACGGCUAACUACGUGCCAGCAGCCGCGGU